rnacentral:rRNA from 1 species
UACGUAGGGUGCAGGCGUUAAUCGGAAUUACUGGGCGUAAAGCGUGCGCAGGCGGUUUGCUAAGACAGGUGUGAAAUCCCCGGGCUUAACCUGGGAACUGCAUUUGUGACUGGCGGGCUAGAGUAUGGCAGAGGGGGGUAGAAUUCCACGUGUAGCAGUGAAAUGCGUAGAGAUGUGGAGGAAUACCGAUGGCGAAGGCAGCCCCCUGGGCCAAUACUGACGCUCAUGCACGAAAGCGUGGGGAGCAAACAGG